rnacentral:lncRNA from 1 species
UGCAGCUUCCUCGGAUAAUGAUUUAUGACAUCUCUGAGGCCACCUCUGAUUGUCUCUUCAGGAGAAGUUCUGAAGGCAACUCCGCUGGACUAUCUGGUGACAUGUCCAAUGGAACUUCGGAAGGCGUCUCUGAUGCAGUCUCUGAAGGUAUCUCUGAUGAAGUCUCAGUAGGUAUCUCUGUUGAAGCCACGGGAGACAUCUCGGAUAAAGUAUCUGAAGGCAUCUCUGAUGAAGUCUCUGAAGGCGUCUCUGACGAAGUUUCUGAAAGCAUGUCUGAUGAAGUCUCUGAAGACAUAAGCUCUGAUGGAGUUCGAACUUCCCUGAGUUGAACUGAGUUCUCAAAGCAGUGAUAGAAACCAAAGUGAGGGAAUCUCUCAUACCAGGUGUCUUCCGGCUGAUGUGUAUCCCAAUGAUCACCACUGCUGCUCUUCCCAUACUUGUGAACCCACCCUGAACCAUUG